GACGAACGCUGGCGGCGUGCUUAACACAUGCAAGUCGAACGGAAAGGCCCUGCUUUUGUGGGGUGCUCGAGUGGCGAACGGGUGAGUAACACGUGAGUAACCUGCCCUUGACUUUGGGAUAACUUCAGGAAACUGGGGCUAAUACCGGAUAGGAGCUCCUGCUGCAUGGUGGGGGUUGGAAAGUUUCGGCGGGUGGGGAUGGACUCGCGGCUUAUCAGCUUGUUGGUGGGGUAGUGGCUUACCAAGGCUUUGACGGGUAGCCGGCCUGAGGGGGUGACCGGCCACAUUGGGACUGAGAUACGGCCCAGACUCCUACGGGAGGCAGCAGUGGGGAAUAUUGCACAAUGGGCGGAAGCCUGAUGCAGCAACGCCGCGUGCGGGAUGACGGCCUUCGGGUUGUAAACCGCUUUCGCCUGUGACGAAGCGUGAGUGACGGUAAUGGGUAAAGAAGCACCGGCUAACUACGUG
rnacentral:rRNA from 1 species